rnacentral:rRNA from 1 species
GUUAUGUCAUGUUAUCGAUAUGUGAAUACAUAGCAUAUCAGAAGGCACACCCGGAGAACUGAAACAUCUUAGUACCCGGAGGAAGAGAAAGAAAAUUCGAUUCCCUUAGUAGCGGCGAGCGAAACGGGAAGAGCCCAAACCAACAAGCUUGCUUGUUGGGGUUGUAGGACACUCUAUACGGAGUUACAAAGGACGACAUUAGACGAAUCAUCUGGAAAGAUGAAUCAAAGAAGGUAAUAAUCCUGUAGUCGAAAAUGUUGUCUCUCUUGAGUGGAUCCUGAGUACGACGGAGCACGUGAAAUUCCGUCGGAAUCUGGGAGGACCAUCUCCUAAGGCUAAAUACUCUCUAGUGACCGAUAGUGAACCAGUACCGUGAGGGAAAGGUGAAAAGCACCCCGGAAGGGGAGUGAAAUAGAACCUGAAACCGUGUGCUUACAAGUAGUCAGAGCCCGUUAAUGGGUGAUGGCGUGCCUUUUGUAGAAUGAACCGGCGAGUUACGAUUUGAUGCAAGGUUAAGCAGUAAAUGUGGAGCCGUAGCGAAAGCGAGUCUGAAUAGGGCGUUUAGUAUUUGGUCGUAGACCCGAAACCAGGUGAUCUACCCUUGGUCAGGUUGAAGUUCAGGUAACACUGAAUGGAGGACCGAACCGACUUACGUUGAAAAGUGAGCGGAUGAACUGAGGGUAGCGGAGAAAUUCCAAUCGAACCUGGAGAUAGCUGGUUCUCUCCGAAAUAGCUUUAGGGCUAGCCUCAAGUGAUGAUUAUUGGAGGUAGAGCACUGUUUGGACGAGGGGCCCCUCUCGGGUUACCGAAUUCAGACAAACUCCGAAUGCCAAUUAAUUUAACUUGGGAGUCAGAACAUGGGUGAUAAGGUCCRUGUUCGAAAGGGAAACAGCCCAGACCACCAGCUAAGGUCCCAAAAUAUAUGUUAAGUGGAAAAGGAUGUGGCGUUGCCCAGACAACUAGGAUGUUGGCUUAGAAGCAGCCAUCAUUUAAAGAGUGCGUAAUAGCUCACUAGUCGAGUGACACUGCGCCGAAAAUGUACCGGGGCUAAACAUAUUACCGAAGCUGUGGAUUGUCCUUUGGACAAUGGUAGGAGAGCGUUCUAAGGGCGUUGAAGCAUGAUCGUAAGGACAUGUGGAGCGCUUAGAAGUGAGAAUGCCGGUGUGAGUAGCGAAAGAYGGGUGAGAAUCCCGUCCACCGAUUGACUAAGGUUUCCAGAGGAAGGCUCGUCCGCUCUGGGUUAGUCGGGUCCUAAGCUGAGGCCGACAGGCGUAGGCGAUGGAUAACAGGUUGAUAUUCCUGUACCACCUAUAAUCGUUUUAAUCGAUGGGGGGACGCAGUAGGAUAGGCGAAGCGUGCGAUUGGAUUGCACGUCUAAGCAGUAAGGCUGAGUAUUAGGCAAAUCCGGUACUCGUUAAGGCUGAGCUGUGAUGGGGAGAAGACAUUGUGUCUUCGAGUCGUUGAUUUCACACUGCCGAGAAAAGCCUCUAGAUAGAAAAUAGGUGCCCGUACCGCAAACCGACACAGGUAGUCAAGAUGAGAAUUCUAAGGUGAGCGAGCGAACUCUCGUUAAGGAACUCGGCAAAAUGACCCCGUAACUUCGGGAGAAGGGGUGCUCUUUAGGGUUAACGCCCAGAAGAGCCGCAGUGAAUAGGCCCAAGCGACUGUUUAUCAAAAACACAGGUCUCUGCUAAACCGUAAGGUGAUGUAUAGGGGCUGACGCCUGCCCGGUGCUGGAAGGUUAAGAGGAGUGGUUAGCUUCUGCGAAGCUACGAAUCGAAGCCCCAGUAAACGGCGGCCGUAACUAUAACGGUCCUAAGGUAGCGAAAUUCCUUGUCGGGUAAGUUCCGACCCGCACGAAAGGCGUAACGAUUUGGGCACUGUCUCAACGAGAGACUCGGUGAAAUCAUAGUACCUGUGAAGAUGCAGGUUACCCGCGACAGGACGGAAAGACCCCGUGGAGCUUUACUGUAGCCUGAUAUUGAAAUUCGGCACAGCUUGUACAGGAUAGGUAGGAGCCUUUGAAACGUGAGCGCUAGCUUACGUGGAGGCGCUGGUGGGAUACUACCCUAGCUGUGUUGGCUUUCUAACCCGCACCACUUAUCGUGGUGGGAGACAGUGUCAGGCGGGCAGUUUGACUGGGGCGGUCGCCUCCUAAAAGGUAACGGAGGCGCUCAAAGGUUYCCUCAGAAUGGUUGGAAAUCAUUCAUAGAGUGUAAAGGCAUAAGGGAGCUUGACUGCGAGACCUACAAGUCGAGCAGGGUCGAAAGACGGACUUAGUGAUCCGGUGGUUCCGCAUGGAAGGGCCAUCGCUCAACGGAUAAAAGCUACCCCGGGGAUAACAGGCUUAUCUCCCCCAAGAGUUCACAUCGACGGGGAGGUUUGGCACCUCGAUGUCGGCUCAUCGCAUCCUGGGGCUGUAGUCGGUCCCAAGGGUUGGGCUGUUCGCCCAUUAAAGCGGUACGCGAGCUGGGUUCAGAACGUCGUGAGACAGUUCGGUCCCUAUCCGUCGUGGGCGUAGGAAAUUUGAGAGGAGCUGUCCUUAGUACGAGAGGACCGGGAUGGACAYACCUCUGGUGUACCAGUUGUCGUGCCAACGGCAUAGCUGGGUAGCUAUGUGUGGACGGGAUAAGUGCUGAAAGCAUCUAAGCAUGAAGCCCCCCUCAAGAUGAGAUUUCCCAACUUCGGUUAU